AUGAAUGCUGGCGGCAUGCCUAAUACAUGCAAGUCGAGCGGCAACGAGGAUCUCAUCCUGCUCUGGAAGUUUCAAGGGUAGAAUGAGAUCUGUCGGCGAGCGGCGGACGGCUGAGUAACGCGUGGGAACGGACCCCAAAGUGAGGGAUAACUAGUCGAAAGAUUAGCUAAUACCGCAUGUGAUCUUUGGAUUAAAGCAUUUAUGCGCUUUGGGACUGGCCUGCGUACGAUUAGAUAGUUGGUGAGGUAAUGGCUCACCAAGUCGACGAUCGUUAGAUGGUUUGAGAGGAUGAUCAUCCAGACUGGGACUGAGACACGGCCCAGACUCCUACGGGAGGCAGCAGUAGGGAAUCUUUCACAAUGGGCGAAAGCCUGAUGGAAGCAAUGCCGCGUGCAGGACGAAGGCCUUCGGGUUGUAAACUGCUUUUAUAAGCGAGGAAUAUGACGGUAACUUAUGAAUAAGGAUCGGCUAACUACGUGCCAGCAGCCGC
rnacentral:rRNA from 1 species